rnacentral:rRNA from 1 species
CCUACGGGAGGCAGCAGUGGGGAAUAUUGGGCAAUGGGCGCAAGCCUGACCCAGCAACGCCGCGUGAAGGAAGAAGGCUCUCGGGUUGUAAACUUCUUUUUUCAGGGACGAAGCAAGUGACGGUACCUGAUGAAUAAGCCACGGCUAACUACGUGCCAGCAGCCGCGGUAAUACGGAGGUGGCAAGCGUUAUCCGGAUGUACUGGGUGUAAAGGGUGUGUAGGCGGGAAAGCAAGUCAGAUGGGAAAUGUAUGGGCUCAACCGUGGGCGUGGAUUUGAUACUGGUUGUCGUGAGUACUGGAGAGGAAGGAGGAAUUAGUGGUGUAGCGGUGAAAUGCGUAGAUAUUAGGAAGAACUCCGGGGGCGAAGGCAGACUACUGAACUGCCACGGACGUUGAUGCGCGAAAGGGUGGGGAGCAAACAGGAUUAGAGACCCUUGUAGUC